rnacentral:rRNA from 1 species
AGUGAACGCUGGCGGUAGGCCUAACACAUGCAAGUCGAACGGCAGCACAGUAAGAGCUUGCUCUUACGGGUGGCGAGUGGCGGACGGGUGAGGAAUACAUCGGAAUCUACUUUUUCGUGGGGGAUAACGUAGGGAAACUUACGCUACUACCGCAUACGACCUACGGGUUAAAGCAGGAGAUCUUCGGACCUUGCGCGACUGAAUGAGACGAUGUCGGAUUAGCUAGUUGGCGGGGUAAAGGCCCACCAAGGCGACGAUCCGUAGCUGGUCUGAGAGGAUGAUCAGCCACACUGGAACUGAGACACGGUCCAGACUCCUACGGGAGGCAGCAGUGGGGAAUCUUCCACAAUGGGCGAAAGCCUGACGGAGCAACGCCGCGUGAGUGAUGAAGGUCUUCGGAUCGUAAAACUCUGUUAUUAGGGAAGAACAAAUGUGUAAGUAACUAUGCACGUCUUGACGGUACCUAAACAGAAAGCCCCGGCUAACUACGUG